rnacentral:rRNA from 1 species
GUUGUAUGGUUAAGUGACUAAGCGUACACGGUGGAUGCCUUGGCAGUCAGAGGCGAUGAAAGACGUAGUAACUUGCGAUAAGCCCAGAUUAGGUAGUAACAACCAUUUGAGUCUGGGAUUUCUGAAUGGGGAAACCCACGUGCAUAAGCACGUAUCCUUACCUGAAUACAUAGGGUAAGGAGGCGAACCGGGGGAACUGAAACAUCUAAGUACCCCGAGGAAAAGAAAUCAACCGAGAUUCCGAAAGUAGCGGCGAGCGAAAUUGGACUAGCCCUUAAGCUUUACACGCGUUAGACGAACGGUCUGGAAAGUCCGACGAUACAGGGUGAUAGUCCCGUAGUUGACGACGUGUGUUCAGUGAAAUCGAGUAGGGCGGGACACGUGAUAUCCUGUCUGAAUAUGGGGGGACCAUCCUCCAAGGCUAAAUACUACUGACUGACCGAUAGUGAACCAGUACCGUGAGGGAAAGGCGAAAAGAACCCCUGUGAGGGGAGUGAAAUAGAACCUGAAACCGUGUACGUACAAGCAGUAGGAGCACCUUCGUGGUGUGACUGCGUACCUUUUGUAUAAUGGGUCAGCGACUUAUAUUCAGUGGCAAGGUUAACCAUCUAGGGGAGCCGUAGGGAAACCGAGUCUUAACUGGGCGUUCAGUCUCUGGAUAUAGACCCGAAACCAGGUGAUCUAGCCAUGGGCAGGUUGAAGGUUGAGUAACAUCAACUGGAGGACCGAACCGACUAAUGUUGAAAAAUUAGCGGAUGACUUGUGGCUAGGGGUGAAAGGCCAAUCAAACCUGGAGAUAGCUGGUUCUCCCCGAAAGCUAUUUAGGUAGCGCCUCGGACGAAUACUACUGGGGGUAGAGCACUGUUAAGGCUAGGGGGUCAUCCCGACUUACCAACCCUUUGCAAACUCCGAAUACCAGUAAGUACUAUCCGGGAGACACACGGCGGGUGCUAACGUCCGUCGUGGAGAGGGAAACAACCCAGACCGCCAGCUAAGGUCCCAAAUUACUACUAAGUGGGAAACGAUGUGGGAAGGCUCAGACAGCCAGGAUGUUGGCUUAGAAGCAGCCAUCAUUUAAAGAAAGCGUAAUAGCUCACUGGUCGAGUCGGCCUGCGCGGAAGAUGUAACGGGGCUAAGUAGUAAACCGAAGCUGCGGCAAUGUGCUUUUGCACAUUGGGUAGGGGAGCGUUCUGUAAGCGGUUGAAGGUGUGUGGUAACGCAUGCUGGACGUAUCAGAAGUGCGAAUGCUGACAUGAGUAACGAUAAAGGGGGUGAAAAACCUCCUCGCCGGAAGACCAAGGGUUCCUGUCCAACGUUAAUCGGGGCAGGGUAAGUCGACCCCUAAGGCGAGGCCGAAAGGCGUAGUCGAUGGGAAACGGGUUAAUAUUCCCGUACUUCUUACAAUUGCGAUGGGGGGACGGAGAAGGCUAGGUGGGCCUGGCGACGGUUGUCCAGGUUCAAGUGCGUAGGCUUAAGAGUUAGGUAAAUCCGGCUCUUUUUAAGGCUGAGACACGACGUCGAGCACCUACGGGUGUGAAGUCAUUGAUGCCAUGCUUCCAGGAAAAGCCUCUAAGCUUCAGAUUGUAAGGAAUCGUACCCCAAACCGACACAGGUGGUCGGGUAGAGAAUACCAAGGCGCUUGAGAGAACUCGGGUGAAGGAACUAGGCAAAAUGGUACCGUAACUUCGGGAGAAGGUACGCUCUUGAUGGUGAAGUCCCUUGCGGAUGGAGCUGACGAGAGUCGCAGAUACCAGGUGGCUGCAACUGUUUAUUAAAAACACAGCACUGUGCAAAAUCGUAAGAUGACGUAUACGGUGUGACGCCUGCCCGGUGCCGGAAGGUUAAUUGAUGGGGUUAGACUUCGGUCGAAGCUCUUGAUCGAAGCCCCGGUAAACGGCGGCCGUAACUAUAACGGUCCUAAGGUAGCGAAAUUCCUUGUCGGGUAAGUUCCGACCUGCACGAAUGGCGUAAUGAUGGCCACGCUGUCUCCACCCGAGACUCAGUGAAAUUGAAAUCGCUGUGAAGAUGCAGUGUACCCGCGGCUAGACGGAAAGACCCCGUGAACCUUUACUACAGCUUGGCACUGAACAUUGACCCUACAUGUGUAGGAUAGGUGGGAGGCUUUGAAGCAGGUACGCCAGUAUCUGUGGAGCCGUCCUUGAAAUACCACCCUUGUAGUGUUGAUGUUCUAACGUCGACCCCUAAUCGGGGUUGCGGACAGUGCCUGGUGGGUAGUUUGACUGGGGCGGUCUCCUCCCAAAGAGUAACGGAGGAGCACGAAGGUGGGCUAAUCACGGUUGGACAUCGUGAGGUUAGUGCAAUGGCAUAAGCCCGCUUGACUGCGAGAAUGACAAUUCGAGCAGGUGCGAAAGCAGGUCAUAGUGAUCCGGUGGUUCUGAAUGGAAGGGCCAUCGCUCAACGGAUAAAAGGUACUCCGGGGAUAACAGGCUGAUACCGCCCAAGAGUUCAUAUCGACGGCGGUGUUUGGCACCUCGAUGUCGGCUCAUCACAUCCUGGGGCUGAAGUCGGUCCCAAGGGUAUGGCUGUUCGCCAUUUAAAGUGGUACGCGAGCUGGGUUUAGAACGUCGUGAGACAGUUCGGUCCCUAUCUGCCGUGGGCGUUGGAAGAUUGAAGGGGGCUGCUCCUAGUACGAGAGGACCGGAGUGGACGAACCUCUGGUGUUCGGGUUGUGUCGCCAGACGCAUUGCCCGGUAGCUAAGUUCGGAAUCGAUAACCGCUGAAAGCAUCUAAGCGGGAAGCGAGCCCUGAGAUGAGUCUUCCCUGAUACUUUAAGUAUCCUAAAGGGUUGUCGGAGACUACGACGUUGAUAGGUCAGGUGUGUAAGUGCUGUGAGGCAUUGAGCUAACUGAUACUAAUUGCCCGUGAGGCUUAACCAUACAACACCCAAGGGGUUU